rnacentral:rRNA from 1 species
AGUGGGCGUCCGGCGGAAACUGCGUGGCUUGGGACCGGAAGGCUCGAGGGGUACGUCCGGGGUAGGAGUGAAAUCCUGUAAUCCUGGACGGACCACCGAUAGCGAAAGCACCUCGAGAAGACGGAUCCGACAGUGAGGGACGAAAGCUGGGGUCUCGAACCGGAUUAGAUACCCGGGUAGUCCUAGCUGUAAACGAUGUCCGCUAAGUGUGGCGCAGGCUACGAGCCUGCGCUGUGCCGCAGUGAAGACGCUAAGCGGACCGCCUGGGAAGUACGUCUGCAAGGAUGAAACUUAAAGGAAUUGGCGGGGGAGCACUACAACCGGAGGAGCCUGCGGUUUAAUUGGACUCAACGCCGGACAUCUCACCGGCACCGACAGCAGUGAUGACAGUCAGGCUGAUGCCCUUACCCGACGCUGCUGAGAGGAGGUGCAUGGCCGCCGUCAGCUCGUACCGUGAGGCGUCCUGUUAAGUCAGGCAACGAGCGAGAUCCGUAUUCCUAAUUGCCAGCAACGCCGUGAGGCGGUUGGGUACAUUAGGAAGACUGCCGCCGCUAAGGCGGAGGAAGGAGCGGGCAACGGUAGGUCAGUAUGCCCCGAAUGUGCCGGGCGACACGCGGGCUACAAUGGCCGGGACAGUGGGAUGCAACCCCGAGAGGGGACGCUAAUCUCCUAAACCCGGUCGUAGUUCGGAUUGCGGGCUGA